CAGUAGCCGCGGGAAUACGUAGGGUGCAAGCGUUAAUCGGAAUUACUGGGCGUAAAGCGUGCGCAGGCGGUUAUAUAAGUCAGAUGUGAAAUCCUCGAGCUCAACCUGGGAACUGCAUUUGAGACUGUAUGGCUAGAGUGUGUCAGAGGGGGGUAGAAUUCCACGUGUAGCAGUGAAAUGCGUAGAUAUGUGGAGGAAUACCGAUGGCGAAGGCAGCCCCCUGGGAUAACACUGACGCUCAUGCACGAAAGCGUGGGGAGCAAACAGGAUUAGAUACCCCUGUAGUCCCUGUCUCUUAUAC
rnacentral:rRNA from 1 species